GACGAACGCUGGCGGCGUGCCUAAUACAUGCAAGUCGAGCGGACGAAUCGAAAGCUUGCUUUUGAUUCGUUAGCGGCGGACGGGUGAGUAACACGUGGGCAACCUGCCCUGUAGACGGGGAUAACACCGAGAAAUCGGUGCUAAUACCUGAUAACACGAAAUGUCGCAUGACGUUUCGUUGAAAGACGGCGCAAGCCUUCGCUACAGGACGGGCACGCGGCGCAUUAGCUAGUUGGUGAGGUAACGGCUCACCAAGGCGACGAUGCGUAGCCGACCUGAGAGGGUGAUCGGCCACACUGGGACUGAGACACGGCCCAGACUCCUACGGGAGGCAGCAGUAGGGAAUCUUCCGCAAUGGACGAAAGUCUGACGGAGCAACGCCGCGUGAGCGAAGAAGGCCUUCGGGUCGUAAAGCUCUGUUGUUAGGGAAGAACAAGUAACGCAGUCACUGGCGUUACCGUGACGGUACCUAACGAGAAAGCCACGGCUAACUACGUGCCAGCCGCCGCGGUAA
rnacentral:rRNA from 1 species